AGUGAACGCUGGCGGUAGGCCUAACACAUGCAAGUCGAACGGCAGCACAGUAAGAGCUUGCUCUUACGGGUGGCGAGUGGCGGACGGGUGAGGAAUACAUCGGAAUCUACUUUUUCGUGGGGGAUAACGUAGGGAAACUUACGCUAAUACCGCAUACGACCUACGGGUGAAAGCAGGGGAUCUUCGGACCUUGCGCGAUUGAAUGAGCCGAUGUCGGAUUAGCUAGUUGGCGGGGUAAAGGCCCACCAAGGCGACGAUCCGUAGCUGGUCUGAGAGGAUGGUCCGCCACACUUGAACUGAGACACGGUCCAGACUCCUACGGGAGGCAGCAGUGGGGAAUAUUGGACAAUGGGCGCAAGCCUGAUCCAGCCAUACCGCGUGGGUGAAGAAGGCCUUCGGGUUGUAAAGCCCUUUUGUUGGGAAAGAAAAGCAGCAGGUUAAUACCCCGCUGUUCUGACGGUACCCAAAGAAUAAGCACCGGCUAACUUCGUG
rnacentral:rRNA from 1 species